rnacentral:rRNA from 1 species
UGACACGUACUCCUACGGGGAGGCAGCAGUGGGGGAAUAUUGCACAAUGGGCGCAAGCCUGAUGCAGCCAUGCCGCGUGUGUGAAGAAGGCCUUCGGGUUGUAAAGCACUUUCAGUCGUGAGGAAGGUAGUGUAGUUAAUAGCUGCAUUAUUUGACGUUAGCGACAGAAGAAGCACCGGCUAACUCCGUGCCAGCAGCCGCGGUAAUACGGAGGGUGCGAGCGUUAAUCGGAAUUACUGGGCGUAAAGCGCAUGCAGGUGGUUUGUUAAGUCAGAUGUGAAAGACCCGGGGCUCAACCUCGGAAUAGCAUUUGAAACUGGCAGACUAGAGUACUGUAGAGGGGGGUAGGAAUUUCAGGUGUAGCGGUGAAAUGCGUAGAGAUCUGAAGGAAUACCGGUGGCGAAGGCGGCCCCCUCGGACAGAUACUGACACUCAGAUGCGAAAGCGUGGGGAGCAAACAGGAUUAGAUACCCUGGUAG